UGGCGGCGGGUGGUGCGUUGAAGUCGCUGGGCGCGAGCGCCUGGGUAGAGGGGACCUGCGUGUGAUAUUGUGACGAGCGAGGCGUCCGAGGCGCGAGUGGUGGCCUUCGUCGCGAGCAGCGCGUUCGCCUCGCGCUCGUGGGAUCGUCGGCUCCGGGGACGAACGCGGAUCUGCGGAGUUUCUCUCCGGGAGUGACACGGAAGCCAGGUGCCGCCCAAAGCGAGCAGACCGGUUUUCCACGUCGGCCCGAGCCUCCGCGCCCAGCCUCGGGCCCGCAGCAUGGCCGCCGGCCGCCGCCUGCUCGGCGUGCUCCUUCUAUGCACAGCUCUAACUGUCGUCACCACCCAGACCUUCCCGCGGCGACGGCGACGACCGACGGACGCCCCGACGGACGCGCCGACGGCCGAUCCGACGGCGCCCUCCGCCGAGCCGAGCCGUCGCUUUCUCUCGGAGGAGGAGCACCAGCUGCUCACCAGCCCCAGCUUCGGCCAGCGGUUGACCACGCGCACUCUCCGCCG